UACAGAGGGUGCAAGCGUUGUUCGGAAUUAUUGGGCGUAAAGCGCGUGUAGGCGGCUUUGCAAGCCGGGUGUGAAAGCCCUCGGCUCAACCGAGGAAGUGCGCCCGAAACUGCAGAGCUUGAGUACCGGAGAGGAUGGCGGAAUUCCCCAAGUAGAGGUGAAAUUCGUAGAUAUGGGGAGGAACACCGGUGGCGAAGGCGGCCACCUGGACGGUAACUGACGCUGAGACGCGAAAGCGUGGGGAGCAAACAGG
rnacentral:rRNA from 1 species